rnacentral:lncRNA from 1 species
GUUUUGUUUCGCAACGUGUUGCCGCGCACGUCGGGAACCUCAAAGUGAAGCGCCAGAUUCUGUAACAGAUUGUCACCAGGUGACAACGCUUCCCCGGGAUUUGUUUUUUGGUAGAUUAAUUUGCCCAGAUUUGAUACGAGGACGGUGUUGCGACUUCCCAUCCAGCGAUGUGGUUAUUUCUCUAGGAAUUCAAGUCUUCCCUUAUUCGGGGGAAGUCUUCCAGUUGUCUUGGUGUUUUGCACAUUUCUUUUUAGGUUUUCCCCUGGCAGUUUUUAUUGCUGUUUUAGUUUGCUUGCUCUUCCUGUUGGACUAUUAUUGCGCCCUAGGAUAGUUUGGUUUUUGGGAUGGUGAUCUAUGUGGUCACUUCGCUAAAGGAGUUAACGGGCAUUCUUAUACACAUCUGAUGGAGCACAUGGCAAGAAUUUUCGGUGCCUUCUGCCCAGAAGUCUCAUCCCACCUGCUCUUCCCAUGGCUGACUCAUCUUUCAGUCUCAGCUUGAUUCAGUCUGGUUCUUAGUUACAAACAGAAUCUGCUCUGGCUGAGAAAGGGACUUUAUUAAUAUUAUGUAG